GACGAACGCUGGCGGCGUGCUUAACACAUGCAAGUCGAACGAUGAACCACUUCGGUGGGGGAUUAGUGGCGAACGGGUGAGUAACACGUGGGCAAUCUGCCCUGCACUCUGGGACAAGCCCUGGAAACGGGGGUCUAAUACCGGAUAAUACUCCCGCACUCAUGUGUGGGGGUUAAAAGCUCCGGCGGUGCAGGAUGAGCCCGCGGCCUAUCAGCUUGUUGGUGAGGUAAUGGCNCACCAAGGCGACGACGGGUAGCCGGCCUGAGAGGGCGACCGGCCACACUGGGACUGAGACACGGCCCAGACUCCUACGGGAGGCAGCAGUGGGGGAAUAUUGCACAAUGGGCGAAAGCCUGAUGCAGCGACGCCGCGUGAGGGAUGACGGCCU
rnacentral:rRNA from 1 species